rnacentral:tRNA from 1 species
GGCGCCGUAGCCAAGUGGUAAGGCGGCGGUCUGCAAAACCGCUAUACAUCAGUUCAACUCUGAUCGGCGCCU